CGGGUUGUAAGCACUUUUAGUUGGGGACGAAAAAGUACAUGAAUUAAUACUUCGUGAUCUUGAUUUAACUCACAGAAAAAGCACCGGCUAACUCUGUAC
rnacentral:rRNA from 1 species